GUACGCUGGCGGCACGCCUAACACAUGCAAGUCGAACGAAGUAGCAAUACUUAGUGGCAGACGGGUGAGUAACAUGUAGGUAUCUGCCCUUUGGCCUGGAAUAACACGAGGAAACUUGUGCUAAUACCGGAUAAGUCUUUACGGAGAAAGCUUUAUGCACCAUUGGAUGAGCCUGCACUUGAUUAGUUUGUUGGUGGGGUAAUGGCCUACCAAGACUGUAAUCAAUAGCUGAUUUGAGAGGAUGAUCAGCCACAUUGGGACUGAGACACGGCCCAAACUCCUACGGGAGGCAGCAGUGGGGAAUCUUGCACAAUGGAGGAAACUCUGAUGCAGCGAUGCCGCGUGAGUGAAGAAGGCCCUUGGGUUGUAAAGCUCUUUCGUCGGGGAAGAAAAUGACUGUACCCGAAUAAGAAGGUCCGGCUAA
rnacentral:rRNA from 1 species